rnacentral:rRNA from 1 species
AGAAUCUUUCGCAAUGCCCGAAAGGGUGACGAAGCGACGCCGCGUGCGGGAAGAAGGCCUUCGGGUUGUAAACCACUGUCGGGAGUUAAGAAGUGUAAGGGUGUUAAGAGCAUCCUUACUUGACGUUAGCUCCGGAGGAAGCCACGGCUAACUCUGUGCCAGCAGCCGCGGUAAUACAGAGGUGGCAAGCGUUGUUCGGAAUUAUUGGGCGUAAAGAGCACGUAGGCGGCCCUGCAAGUCAGCUGUGAAAUCCUUCUGCUCAACGGAAGAACGGCAGUUGAUACUACAGGGCUAGAGUGCGGGAGGGGAGAGUGGAACUUCUGGUGGAGCGGUGAAAUGCGUAGAUAUCAGAAGGAACAUCGGCGGCGAAAGCGACUCUCUGGUCCGUAACUGACGCUGAGGUGCGAAAGCUAGGGGAGCAAACGGGAUUAGAUACCCCGGUAGUCCUAGCCGUAAACGAUGGGCACUCGGUAGAGGGGUUUUGAUUAUCUCUCUGCCUGAGCUAACGCGUUAAGUGCCCCGCCUGGGGAGUACGGCCGCAAGGCUAAAACUCAAAAGAAUUGACGGGGGCUCGCACAAGCGGUGGAGCAUGUGGCUUAAUUCGAUGCAACACGAAGAACCUUACCGGGGCUUGACAUGGUAGAAGUAGGAGCCCGAAAGGGUAACGAACGGUAUCCAGUCCGUCACUAUCACAGGUGUUGCAUGGCUG